GACGAACGCUGGCGGCGUGCUUAACACAUGCAAGUCGAACGGAAAGGCCCUGCUUUUGUGGGGUGCUCGAGUGGCGAACGGGUGAGUAACACGUGAGUAACCUGCCCUUGACUUUGGGAUAACUUCAGGAAACUGGGGCUAAUACCGGAUAGGAGCCCCUGCUGCAUGGUGGGCGUUGGAAAGUCUCGGCGGUUGGGGAUGGACUCGCGGCUUAUCAGCUUGUUGGUGGGGUAGUGGCUUACCAAGGCUGUGACGGGUAGCCCGCCUGUGAGGGUGACAGGCCACAUUGGAACUGAGGUACGGCCCAGACUCCUACGGGAGGCAGCAGUGGGGAAUAUUGCGCAAUGGGCGGAAGCCUGAUGCAGCAACGCCGCGUUCGUGAUGACGGCCUUUGGGUUGUGAACCGCUUUAGCCUGUGACGAAGCGUGUGUGACGGUAAUGGGUAAAGAAGCACCGGCUAACUACGUG
rnacentral:rRNA from 1 species